rnacentral:rRNA from 60 species
AGAGUUUGAUCCUGGCUCAGGAUGAACGCUGGCGGCGUGCCUAAUACAUGCAAGUCGAGCGAACGGACGAGAAGCUUGCUUUUCUGAUGUUAGCGGCGGACGGGUGAGUAACACGUGGAUAACCUACCUAUAAGACUGGGAUAACUUCGGGAAACCGGAGCUAAUACCGGAUAAUAUUUUGAACCGCAUGGUUCAAAAGUGAAAGACGGUCUUGCUGUCACUUAUAGAUGGAUCCGCGCUGCAUUAGCUAGUUGGUAAGGUAACGGCUUACCAAGGCAACGAUGCAUAGCCGACCUGAGAGGGUGAUCGGCCACACUGGAACUGAGACACGGUCCAGACUCCUACGGGAGGCAGCAGUAGGGAAUCUUCCGCAAUGGGCGAAAGCCUGACGGAGCAACGCCGCGUGAGUGAUGAAGGUCUUCGGAUCGUAAAACUCUGUUAUUAGGGAAGAACAUAUGUGUAAGUAACUGUGCACAUCUUGACGGUACCUAAUCAGAAAGCCACGGCUAACUACGUGCCAGCAGCCGCGGUAAUACGUAGGUGGCAAGCGUUAUCCGGAAUUAUUGGGCGUAAAGCGCGCGUAGGCGGUUUUUUAAGUCUGAUGUGAAAGCCCACGGCUCAACCGUGGAGGGUCAUUGGAAACUGGAAAACUUGAGUGCAGAAGAGGAAAGUGGAAUUCCAUGUGUAGCGGUGAAAUGCGCAGAGAUAUGGAGGAACACCAGUGGCGAAGGCGACUUUCUGGUCUGUAACUGACGCUGAUGUGCGAAAGCGUGGGGAUCAAACAGGAUUAGAUACCCUGGUAGUCCACGCCGUAAACGAUGAGUGCUAAGUGUUAGGGGGUUUCCGCCCCUUAGUGCUGCAGCUAACGCAUUAAGCACUCCGCCUGGGGAGUACGACCGCAAGGUUGAAACUCAAAGGAAUUGACGGGGACCCGCACAAGCGGUGGAGCAUGUGGUUUAAUUCGAAGCAACGCGAAGAACCUUACCAAAUCUUGACAUCCUUUGACAACUCUAGAGAUAGAGCCUUCCCCUUCGGGGGACAAAGUGACAGGUGGUGCAUGGUUGUCGUCAGCUCGUGUCGUGAGAUGUUGGGUUAAGUCCCGCAACGAGCGCAACCCUUAAGCUUAGUUGCCAUCAUUAAGUUGGGCACUCUAAGUUGACUGCCGGUGACAAACCGGAGGAAGGUGGGGAUGACGUCAAAUCAUCAUGCCCCUUAUGAUUUGGGCUACACACGUGCUACAAUGGACAAUACAAAGGGCAGCGAAACCGCGAGGUCAAGCAAAUCCCAUAAAGUUGUUCUCAGUUCGGAUUGUAGUCUGCAACUCGACUACAUGAAGCUGGAAUCGCUAGUAAUCGUAGAUCAGCAUGCUACGGUGAAUACGUUCCCGGGUCUUGUACACACCGCCCGUCACACCACGAGAGUUUGUAACACCCGAAGCCGGUGGAGUAACCUUUUAGGAGCUAGCCGUCGAAGGUGGGACAAAUGAUUGGGGUGAAGUCGUAACAAGGUAGCCGUAUCGGAAGGUGCGGCUGGAUCACCU